GAUGAACGCUGACAGAAUGCUUAACACAUGCAAGUCUUUGGCGAAGCUGUGCUUGCACAGCCUAGCCAAGGCGGACGGGUGAGUAACGCGUAAGGAACUUGCCCUGCAGUCAGGGAUAACAGACGGAAACGACUGAUAAGACCUGGUAAAGUCAGGCGGACCCAUGUCCAGCCUGAUGAAAAGAGAUGCUGCAGGAGAGCCUUGCGUCCUAUUAGCUUGUUGGUGGGGUAACGGCCCACCAAGGCGAUGAUAGGUAGCCGGCCUGAGAGGGUGGACGGCCACAAGGGGACUGAGAUACGGCCCUUACUCCUACGGGAGGCAGCAGUGGAGAAUAUUGGACAAUGGGGGCAACCCUGAUCCAGCAAUUCUGUGUGCACGAUGAAGGUUUUCGGAUUGUAAAGUGCUUUCAGCGGGGAAGAAAAAAAUGACGGUACCUGCAGAAGAAGCGACGGCUAAAUACGUG
rnacentral:rRNA from 1 species